UGGCUCAGAACGAACGCUGGCGGCGUGCCUAACACAUGCAAGUGGAGCGACGAACCAGGCUUCGGCCUGGGGCAAAGCCGCGAACGGGUGAGUAACACGUGGGUAACCUGCCCCGAUGAUUGGGACAACCCGAGGAAACUCGGGCUAAUACCGAAUGUGCCCUCCGACCAUAAGGUCGCUGGGGAAAGGAAGCUUCGGCCUUCGCAUCGGGAUGGGCCCGCGGCCCAUUAGCUUGUUGGUGAGGUAACGGCUCACCAAGGAGACGAUGGGUAGCUGGUCUGAGAGGACGAUCAGCCACACUGUGCCUGAGACACGGAACAGACUCCUAC
rnacentral:rRNA from 1 species